rnacentral:misc_RNA from 1 species
UAUGAAGAACGUAGCGAAAUGCGAUAAGUAGUGUGAAUUGCAGAAUUCAGUGAAUCAUCGAAUCUUUGAACGCACAUUGCGCCCCUUGGUAUUCCAUGGGGCAUGCCUGUUCGAGCGUCAUUUGUACCUUCAAGCUUUGCUUGGUGUUGGGUGUUUGUCUCGCCUUUGCGUGUAGACUCGCCUUAAAAUAAUUGGCAGCCGGCGUAUUGAUUUCGGAGCGCAGUACAUCUCGCGCUUUGCACUCAUAACGACAGCGUCCAAAAGUACAUUUUACACUCUUGACCUCGGAUCAGGUAGGGAUACCCGCUGAACUUAAGCAUAUCAAUAAGCGGAGGA